UUCAAUAUUGAACUAGCACCUUUUUUCUUCUCGUCCAGAACCGUUGCUCUAAUGGCACACGCACCUUUCAUUGACACAUGUGGCUCCCUUUUUGAUGUGGCGGUGGCGGGGAAGGAGGAGGAGAAGAAGCCAGACAGAGAGCAGGAGGAGAAGAAGCCAGAAUAAGCAAUGUCACGGUGACCGAAGUUUGAAGUGUACAUGCAUGGUGUCAUACCCGGCAGAGCAUGCUCCCCCUAAGGGAGCCGUGUGUUGACGGAGCCGAGUGCGAUGCCAGGACUAAGAGGAGCACCCAAUUUCAUCUUGGUCAAGUGGAGAUGAGACGGAGCACCUAAAAGUAAUUCUAUUAGCAUUUUUUUCCACGGGUACUUAUUGAAGGACAGAACUGAUGAUAGUAUUCUCCUAGCACUAGUAGUAGCUUGAUUCUUUGUCAAACUAUGGUAUGGUUGCUAUACUUCAAACUUGCGUUUAUGAUGAAUGAUCAAGUCAUGUCCAUGUUUCUUCAACAUAUGAGGAUCAUUUUAAUCAUGUUUCUAUACAGGUCUUAAUUUUUCUAUUAUCCAAGUGCAGUUCAUGAGAUGAGAGAAGAGAUUAAUGUGACGUGGCCGGCUGGGAAGAGGGCUCCCGUGUGCAACAGAAGCUGGCCGGACUGGUUCGUGACGGUAAGUAGAAGGGGCUGGAGCUCUGUGUUCCUGUCGACGCCCGUGCUAGGCUCGCUGGGAUGGGCGCACAACAUCAUGCAUCCUGUUGGCGAGUAGACCGCUGCCCCAGGUUCAUGAGAAUAGAUGUAAUGGGAAUGUACCGAGCACCGUUUCAAGAUUACUGUAGGAUCCGAAUUAUAUCAAAUAGGCUCCUUUUUCUGUUUCCA